UUUAGUGAGAACGCUUCAGGAAAACGACUUUGGGUAUUUCAUUUACGUAAAUAAAAUGUCAGGCUGAGAAUUCGUAAUCCGAGACAUUUCAAUGAUGGUUUUUCUGAAGGAUAUGAAAUUCGAGGUUACGCCAAUGGUCAACGAUCUAAUAUCACUGUGUGAAAGGUGUGCCUUCACAAGAUUUGCUGAAGUGUUCACAUAAUUCUUCCGUGUGCAACAUUUACCUAAAAGAUUCAAGCCAGAAUUACAAAAAAAAAAACAGUCAUCAGUCAACACUUUUGUGAAAUAUGGCAUCUUUGAUUGGGAUCAUUUCUGAAAAUUAAUGUCAUGGUCAUUUUGGUUUAUGGUGGUCUAAAGGACAUGUUUUCUGGUUUCAUUUUUACACCACAAGGAAAGAAACCGUGGAAUCCUGAAGUAUAAAUGAAUCCAUUAUAAUUCAUCAUGUUCAUUGUUUGACUCCCAAUGCAUACUCCUUGAAGUUGUGACCUCAUUUUCCGAUAACCAGUAAUAUAACGACCAAAUUUCCAAACUCAUCAAUUCCAUAAGUACUUCACCGUGAAAAAUUUCUUCGAUCCCCAAGUCAAUAACUGUUCCAAUAUUCCAUGAAGGAUGUUGAUCAGAAUCAAUAUUAAAUUAGCCACAUUCCAAAGUGACCAUUUGUAAAAAAAAAUAUAAUUUUCUGAUGGGUAAUCAAUGCAGUUCCACUAAACUUAAUGUGUAGAUCCAAAACAAGAUUAGAGAUCCACAUUCACAAAUAUUGAUUCGGAAGUCCAGGUGAAAAUGAAAAAUCCAAGUGAAUUACUCUUCCUGCACCAAACAUAUAAAAUGUUGAAAUCUUAUUCCUACAGGCAGUUGUCCCACCAAGUACAACAAAAUUCUAACGAAUCCAAGAUGUCCUCGCUUUUAAUAUCAAUUCCUUUUAGCAAAUAUUACCAUUCCAAUCUUCAUGCAAUACAUCGUCGAAUUGGUAUGAAACACUAGAGUUCAAAGUUGUUUAUCACUUUUAUAUUAUUUGAUUGCAAUUCUAUUUAUUUUGCAAGUUAUCAAAUUUACGAAAAUAACAUCCUUGCGAUUUGUUUUACCACAUUUAAAACACAGCCAGCCUUUUGUUACUUUUUCAAUAAAAUACAACUGCUACUUUUUAACACUUACCAUACACCAAAUUAAAAGUUAAUCUGUUAGUUUACAGAAUGGCUCAUAAAUUUUUAGCGUGUUAUUUUGUAAUAACACGCAUACAUUCUUCUGGUUAAGGAAACUUUGUCCAACGAUGACAGAAACCUCUUGUGCGUCGUUUGGUACAACAAUCGCCUUUACACGAGCCUGAACAGAAUCCACCUUCAGUACCACUUCUGUUUCCCCCAAAAUCCGAACUGAUCCUCCACCGAACGUUUGAAUCCAAUCUUCACUAGAAUUCACGAGUAGUUUUAAGCUCCGUGCCUUUUCUUCUGUUACAGUCACAGUAGUGCAUCCGGUAUCGAUAAAAGAAUCCAAUUCUUGACCAUUAACCAGACAAUUUUUAAAAAAACAUCCAUUGAAACCCUCAUGGGACAAAUGAGAAUAUAAUACUUUAUCCACCUUUCUUCUACAAUUCCUCGCAAUGUGUCCUCGAUUCAUACAAAUAGAACACACCUUAGCAGCCAAUGGAACUUUACCCUGGUGUUUGAAUUCAUUCCGCCUGAUGAACCUUUUAUCAAGUCUUGAGUGAACAGGAACAGGGUGCUUUGAGGGUGACUUUACGGAUCGAGUCUCAUCAAAACUUGCAUUUCCUACAUCGCGAUAGUUGAAUUCUUCAGUCCUU